rnacentral:rRNA from 1 species
ACGGGAGGCAGCAGUGAGGAAUAUUGGUCAAUGGGCGGAAGCCUGAACCAGCCAAGUCGCGUGAAGGAUGAAGGUAUUAUGUAUUGUAAACUUCUUUAGCUGUGGAGCAAUAAUCGCCAUGCAUGGCGAGAUGAGAGUACACAGAGAAUAAGGAUCGGCUAACUCCGUGCCAGCAGCCGCGGUAAUACGGAGGAUCCGAGCGUUAUCCGGAUUUAUUGGGUUUAAAGGGAGCGUAGGCGGAAGGUCAAGUCAGCUGUGAAAUGUAGUCGCUCAACGUCUGCACUGCAGUUGAAACUGGCCUCCUUGAGUGCGUAAGAGGCGGGCGGAAUUCGUCGUGUAGCGGUGAAAUGCUUAGAUAUGACGAAGAACUCCGAUUGCGAAGGCAGCUCGCUGGGCCGCAACUGACGCUGAAGCUCGAAGGUGCGGGUAUCAAACAGGAUUAGAUACCCUGGUA